CGGAACUUUAUCUCUUCCAGGCUGAUAUUUUCCAAAAACAGCAAGCAUGCCCCAUUUUCAAGGAAGAGCUUAUAAAAGCUCUUCUCUCACUAAUGACUUUCUCAGAUGGGCAAUGCUGUAUUCUGUGGGCAUGAAAGGCAAAGAAAACUAAACAGUGAGUGGGACCUAUAUCUGGUUCCUUAUAUUUUCGAAUGUUUUGAUUUCCACCAUCUCAGCCAUUGGGGAAAUCCUAUCCUCGGAUUAGGAACCAUGCUCAUGGAGAAUUUAGAGGAGGAAAAUCUUUACAUUGAAGGUAAGGAGAGGGAUUCUCAGUAGAUUGCCACACUGGUCUCAAACUCUUUGCUUUAAGUUGUCUUCCUGCCUCAGCCUCCCUAGUCACUGGGAUUACAGGUCUUCAGGUUACAAACAAUAACAAACACCACCAAAGGACAGGCUUCAGAAAAAUGGAAAAUUGAUCUAACAAGGAAGAAGUAUUAUGAAGCAAUGUUAAAAAGAAAUUGGUAAUAAUUGCCAACAGAGAAAACCCUUCAAAGAGAGUUGCUGCUUUUCCUAAGGGUUUCCAAGGAUCCAAAAACCUUCGGAAGUUCCAAGGAUCAAGUCCCAGGAUCUAAGCUGGACCUUUCCUGGAACAAAUUCCUUCAGACAAAUUCUCCACCAGACCAUCAACUCAGGAGGGCAAACAAGGAACUUGUUUUCAAGAGCUGGAGCCAAACCACCCAGAGUUUCCUGUGCCAGGUGAGCAUGAAGAGGGGCCGAAGUCACCCAUUACUAACCCCUCACCCAUGACUGCCUGAAAGGUAUGUCUCAGGCUUUAACCAUGAAACCUGUUUCCUCUCUCCCCUCCAAAGUCCAGCCCAGAGAGGCAUGAUAAAAUCACUUAGCAAAUGGAAAAUAUUUUGUGCUUAUUCUAAGAAAUGUGAUCCAUCAAAAAUGAGCUGACAAGUCAUUUCAUUUCCAAGGACAGUGUCCACAUACUCCAGGCAGCCUCUGGACCUGGAAUAAGACACAUCUAAGCCACAGGCCAGUAAGGACCAUACAGCUAUAACGUUAUGAGUGAUUCUGUAGCAUGGUUUUAAGGCACCAGCUGCACAGUCAGACUGCCUGGUUUCAGCCCAGCUCCCUCAUUUGCUAGCUGUGAAAACUGGGUGAAUUGCUUAAGCAACCCUUAAUGACAUUUUGUUGUUUUAAAAACGGCAAUAAUAAUAAUACUCCCUUCUUCAUAUGAUUGUUUUGAGAUUUGGAUAAGGCAAUAGGUGCUUUAUUCGAUAAGGACCCUAGAACAUACAAAUCUAUUUUAAAAAUGCUAUUAAUAUGGUUUUGCCCUAAAAAGGCAGGUUCUUCUGUUUCUCAAAUCUGACAAAGUUUUGUCAGACUCUUGAAUUCUCAUUAAUAGUUCCAACACAGACUAUUAAUGCUGUUAGUUUUGACCAAAUACAUGACUCAUGAAUUAACUAACUCUUACUUGGUAAUCUGAAGGAAUCAAUAAAAUCCACACUUAAUUCCCCCUAAAUCAACUGAACAACUAUGGACUAUGGAAUUGGGGAGAUCUGUCUAAAUGGCAGCAAUAUCAACUACGAAAAAUAUUUAUUUAGAGUCUGGGUAGGUACCAAGUUCAAUGAACUGCUUAGAGAGUCUGUGUUGCUUUGGUGACUGUUCUAGGCAGUGCUAAUUUUGCUACAAUUUCCUUUCUUAAGUAAGUCACAACCAGAAUAAAAACAAAGUUCUAGAAAUCCCAUAUUUUUACAAACUGGAUUGAUGAAACCAGUUUUUAAAAUAUCAGAGGACCAGACUGAAAAAGAAACCAGGUGUAGCAAAAGGCAACUCUUCUGGAAACUGAAAAUUCAAAGAAACAUGGUAAUCUCACUGUAUUAAUUUUCUUUUCCUCUUGUAACAAAUUACCACAAGCUUAGUGGCUUAAAACAACACAAAUUUAUAUCCUACAGUUUGUGGAGAAGUAUGAAGUGGGUCUUCCAGGGCUAAAAUCAGUGCUGGUAGAGAGGGGGUACAGAGAAUCUGUUCCUAUUCUUUUCAGCUUCUAGAGAAAGCCUGGGUUCCUUGGCUCAAAGUUUCUUCCAGCAGGGGCAUCUCUCUGACCUCUGUUUCCACUGCCUCAGCUCCUACUCUCACUCGAACCCUCCUGCAUCCCUCUUAUAGGAACCCUUGUGAUUACACUGAGCCUUCUCAAUCAAUGCAGGAUAAUCUUCUAUCUAUCUCAAGACCCGUAAUGUAAUCACAUCUGCAAAGUCCCUUUUGCCAUUUGAGGUAACAAAUCCAUAGGCUCCAAGAAUUAAGAUAUGGACAUCUUUUAGGGGACCAUUCUUCUGACUACCAUACUCCCCUAGCUGAAGAAUUAUUGUGUGAAACAGGGAUAAAGGCAGAACUAAUAUAAAUGAGUCAAAGUGGCCAGGAGGUGAAAUUUGGCUCCAAACAGAAGAAUCUCAAUAAUGAUAAGAGGUGAGUGAAAAAGGACAGGAGCUUUUGAGGAGGAUGUGGGCUCUUUAUCACUAGGGCUGAGCCUCUCUUUCUAAACAUUCACUCCCUCUGCCCAUGUUGGGGUUUUGAUUGCAUGGCAUUUGAGGGUCUUUCCAAUUUUAAGCUUCCAGGUCUUUGAAAAUUUGGAAGGUGUGUCAGUCAGUGUAUAGGCUAGGCUAUGCUGGGUAACAACCAAUCCCCCAAAUCUCAGUGAUUUCAAUCAACACAUCCAUUGUUGGACUGCAUUAGCUCUGGUCGUUGUGGUCCUCUAGGGACUAAAGAGACACCACCACUGCAGACAUAGCUAGCCACAGUGCCAGCAGGAUAGAGAGUUCUGGAGGGUCUAGAAAGAGCAACUGAUACCCUGGUCCACAAGGGUCACACAACACUUACACUAACAGCUCCUCAGUCAGAACUAGUCACAAGUCUCUGGCCAACUAAAAGGAAGACCAGGAUAAAGAGCCAAUCUGGAAGGCAAAGAAACAGAAAUAUUGACGAGUGCAAAUAGUGACUGUGACAGGAAACAAUUGACCCUCUCCAUCAAUCAAUUCACAGAUUUUAGUCAUAAAAGGAGUCAUAAAACUCUUUUGACCCCUAAAGAGUUUUUCUAAACAGGGUGACGGUCAAUCGAUUAUCCUAGGCUCACUGAUGCAACAAGAUUGUCUUAAGCAUGUUCUUCUUUCUUGAUUUUAGCUCCAUGGUUAGGGUUUCACUUUCAAAAGAUUAAUAAUAAGGUGAUAAUGAUGAUGAUAAUGAUGAUGAUGAUGGUAAUGCAUGCUUUUUGAAAAUCACAGUGUACUGAGCAUUGUACUCAGCAUUUUCCACAUUUAUUUUUUGAAUCUCAGGCAUAGAGGCAUGAGUGAAUCACACUUCUGAUUUCAUAGCAUACUUCUAUUGUAAGACUCAUACAAAGACUCUCUCAUGGUGUAUUUUAUUCAUGUGUCCCCUCUCCUCAUUUUAUCAACCAUAAUGUCUUUGAUAUGAUACCUUAAUAUUUUGUAUAUUUUUGCAAAUUGUAUAGUGUUGUUGUUAUGUAGGUAUUUUUAAUUCUAUAAAAGUAUAUUCAUGUAUACUGGUUCUGUUUAUUUCUUCCUUACAUUCGGAUCUUACUGCAUUUAUGAGUAUAUGUCUCACGUAGUUAAUGUCUUAUAACAGUAACGUAAUAUUCCAUACUGUGUGUCCAUUAUAGUUCCCUUAGCUUUUCCCCUGCAAUGGAACAUCUAGGUUGUCUAAUGUUCCCUGAUACUUUAAACCAGGGGUCAGCAAACAUUUUUUAUAAAGAGUGACACAGUAAAUAUAUUUGGCUUUGGGGGUUCUGAAGUCUUGGUUUUAAGGAUUUUGCUGCUGUUAUACCAUAAAAGCAGCCAUAGACAGUGCACAAAUACAUGCCUGUGGACAUAUUUGGCCCAUUGGUCAUAUUUGACAAUCCCUAGUUCAAACACCAUGGUGAUGAAUAUCCUCUAUGUGUUCCCUUAUGAAAUUGGGGCUAGAUGUUCUCUCAAAUAUACUGUACAAACAAGAGUGAGAUUGCAGCAUCAUAAGAUAUGCCCAAACAUCAUUAGACUAAGUAUUUCUGGUUGCAUCAGCCUGUUCUCUUAACAACAGUUAAUAAAAAUAAGAGCCCUCAGAAAUAACG
rnacentral:lncRNA from 1 species